AUAGGAAAGCAUUAAGCUCAAAAUCUACAUUGAGUCCCUUAGGGUCCCUAAGGGACUCAAUGUAGAUUUUGAGCUUAAUGCUUUCCUAUAAUCUAU
rnacentral:miRNA from 1 species